UACGGAGGAUGCAAGCGUUAUCCGGAAUGAUUGGGCGUAAAGCGUCCGCAGGUGGCUUUGUGAGUCUGCUGUUAAAGAGUGAGGCUCAACCUCAUAAGAGCAGUGGAAACUACAAGGCUAGAGUACGUUCGGGGCAGAGGGAAUUCCUGGUGUAGCGGUGAAAUGCGUAGAGAUCAGGAAGAACACCGGUGGCGAAAGCGCUCUGCUAGGCCGUAACUGACACUGAGGGACGAAAGCUAGGGGAGCGAAUGGG
rnacentral:rRNA from 1 species